CGUUACACAAAACAAACGCUUCCCGCCGGAGCGGAGCUGAGCUGAGCUGCCACCCAAUGCAACCCAUGGCCGCCGUCGACCUCUCCCGACCGCUCUGCGCCGCCGUCAUCAAAACCUCCUUCCGCCCCCAUCUCCCGCUCCUCGCCGCCUCUCCCGCACUCCUCGCCGCGGUCCUUCAACGCCUCUCCCCGCUCCCUUCCGCCGCGCUCGCCUUCUUCCGCGCCCUGCCGCCGCCGCCCCCGCUCGACGCCUCCCUCGCGCUCCUCCGCCUCCUCGCGCCGCACCCGCGCCACCACCCCGCUGCCCGCGCCCUCCUCCGGGAUCUCUCCCUGCGCCACCCGCUAUCCUCCCCGCUCAUGCUCCCCUCCCUCCUCGCCGACCACGACCCCCACGUCCCCAGCUGGCUCCUCCUCCUCCUCUCCCAGUCCGCACGCCCCGACGACGCCGUCCGGGUGUUCGACCAAAUGCGCGCCCGGGGCCUCGCCCCCGACGCCCACGCCUGCACCGCGCUCCUCACUGCGCUCGCCAGGGCCCGGAUGACGGCCACCGCGCGCCGGGUGUUCGACGAAAUGACCAGGGCCGGGGUCGCCAUCAGCACCCACGUGUGCAACGCCAUGCUGCACGUGUGCCUCAAGGCUGGGGACGCCGCACGCGCCGAGGCGCUCAUCACCAGGAUGGACGCGGCUGCCGUGCGCUUGGACCAAUUCUCUUUCAACACCAUCAUCGCCCUCUACUGCAGGAAGGGGAUGAGGUACGAGGCCAUGUGCGUGCGGGAGCGCAUGGAAAACCAAGGGAUACAGGCGGACACCGUCACAUGGAACUCCUUGAUCCACGGGUUGUGCAAGGAUGGCAGGGUGAAGGAGGCGGCCGGGCUGUUUACUGAGAUGAUUGCAGCACAGGUGCCGCCAGACAAUGUCACCUACACCACACUCAUUGAUGGGUACUGCCGGGCGGGCGAUAUCGAGGAGGCGGUCAAGCUACGAGAGGAGAUGGAGGCGAGGGGGAUGCUCCCAGGGGUUGCCACUUACAAUGCUAUUCUCAGGAAGCUCUGUGAGGAUGGCAACAUCAAGGAGGUCAAUCAGUUGCUUAAUGAGAUGGAUGAGAGGAAGGUGCAGGCUGAUCAUGUCACCUGCAACACGCUAAUCAAUGCGUACUGCAAGAGAGGGGAUAUGACUUCAGCAUGCAAGGUCAGGAGGAAGAUGUUGGAGUCCGGGCUGCAGCUGAAUCAGUUCACCUACAAGGCUCUCAUCCAUGGAUUCUGCAAGGCCAAGGAGUUGGACAAAGCCAAGGAAGCCUUGUUUGAGAUGGUCGAUGCAGGUUUUUCACCCAACUAUAGCGUAUUCUCCUGGCUUGUCGAUGGUUUCUGCAAGAAGAAUAGCGCAGACGCAGUACUACUCAUCCCUGAUGAGCUUAUGAGAAGAGGCCUUCCACCAGAUAAAGCAGUAUAUAGGUCGCUAAUUCGAAGGCUUUGCAGAAAAGGCUUGGUUGACCAGGCACAAAAAGUGUUUGAUCGGAUGCAAGGCAAAGGUUUAGUGGGUGACAGUCUAGUGUAUGCCACACUUGCCUAUGCAUAUCUGGCUGAAGGAAAGCCAGCUGCCGCUUCGAAUACUUUGGAUGGCAUGGCGAAGGAUCAGUUGCGCAUAACGCCCCAUAUUUACAACUGCCUGUGCACGACUUAUGCUGAUGAGAAGGAAACCCUUAAUAUGUUGUGGGUUCGCGCUAUCGAGAGAGGCCUAAUAACGAAAAGUGUUUACAAAUUGCUGCACCAAGCAAGGCUGCUGGAAUCAACGUAGCCUGCAGUUGAGACUGGGGGGCAUGCUCCUGCUCCAAGGCCAGACUAUCUAGAGGCUACACUUGAUUGAUACUUGAGUGCAGAGUUACAAUUCUAUAACCAAGUCUGUUUGGUCCAUUCAUGAUUUUCGAUCAUACCAGCACGGUAAUGAAGUUAGGUGUGUCGUAUAUCGCUUCAUAAGCGUUUUGGGGCGAAUGGACAAGCCAUGCUGCUGAGUGCUGACACACUUGAGCUUGUAAGCUCACUCUCUGUUUUAUAUGCUCACUCUUGUUACUUGCUGGGUGAAUAUAUUCACUUUGUUAUAGCAUAGGUCUUAGCACAGAAGAAUAAAUGAGGGCUCUAUCCCAGCGGAAAUGCAGGACAUGGUGCGAGAAGGCGUCAAACUGGUUCUGCAGGCCGCAAAAGGCCAGCACUGUUGUGCGCAUCGAGGGCUGAAGAUUGAUGUACCAGGGGCGUGAGAGUGGAACUGUGGAAAACAUUGUGUUCUCUAGGAGUAGCGCGUAGUCUGUUCUGGUAAUGUGUCUUUAGUUCAGUGUGAGCUUGUAAAUAAUCUGCUGGCAGCUGGAAAAGUGUUUUAUUCCCCCUGAAUAAUAAAUAUACGUAAUGGGAA